rnacentral:lncRNA from 1 species
UUUAUUUAUUUCAAAAAAUCCAGAAUGUGGCUCAAGGACCACUUUCAGAAUUCCAUUUGGUGCUUAUGACUGCCAUGUAUCUAAACUCAAAAACUGCAGGCAUUGUAUUGGACUGUUCUGAUAUAUUAACUUUUAACAAGCUUUGUGAAUUUGCACAUUAAAGUUUGAGAACUAUAAAAGCUGCAAAAUUAUGCAACCAGGACUAGGGUUCAAUAUCUAAAUGAGUAGUCACAGAUAACUGUGUCUAUUUCCUUGUGACAGACUCUUUAAGUUAUUGAUGUAACAUUUCUUUUUUAAAAACACUAUCUUAAAAUUGUGUGUGUGGUCUAUGUGUGGUCUAUGUGUGAUGUGCAUGAUGUGUGUCUAUGUGUAUAUGUGUGUGUGGUGUUAUGUGUGGUAUAUGUAUGGUGUGGUGUGUGGAAUGUGCACAUGUGUGCAGUUGCCUUCAUUGAGCAGAAGAAGGUACUGAAAGCCGGGGAGCUGGAGUUACAGGCAGUUGUUACUCUCCUGCUGGGAAUGCUGGGAAUCCAACUCUAGUCUUCUUUCUGCAAGACAAAUGGGUACUCUUAACUGCUGAGCCAUCUUUCUGUAUGCUACAGCCCUCUGUAACAUAAUUCCAAAUAUCGAUUCAUCCAACUUUUACAGAUACAGUAUAGUAUUUAAAAUCAACUCAGAAUGUUCUUUACUUUCCAUAAAAGUCCAUAUAUUAAACAAGCAUGAGUCACAUUUUAAUUGGAAUUAAUGUAUUGCACACUUUCUGGAGAAGGGGGUCACAAGAUGCUCUUUAUUGAGGUUAGGAGACACAUUUGCAUAGACCCUAAGGCAGUGGUUUUCAGCUGUCCUAUGCUGUGACCUUUGAAUACAGUUCAUGUUGUGGUGACUCCAACCAUAACAUUAUUUUUGUUGCUACUUCAACAACUGUAAUUUUGCUGCUGUUAUGAAUUGUAAAUAUUUUUUGGAGAUACAGGUUGAGGACCAUGUACUAAGGGGCUCUCCUACCUGAGUUUCAUUAAAUAGUGACCUUUUCUAAGCUUGUGGGUAUUAAGAGGACAGUUUCCAAUUGUAGUCCAGUCCUGAUGGUCCCUUGGAAAAUAUUUGCUUCUCCAAGCCACGGAAAGUGGAGAAGGCUUCUUUGGGGAAUUGGGACUCAGAUGUAAAGACUGUUAGUGUAGAGUCCAAUAUGAAUGUAAAACAUGGCUUUGGAUGAGCUUCUUCCUCAGUCUUUCAUCAUAUGGUAGAGUUAAGCUUACUUUGCAUUUUGAAAAAAGUAAUGUGUGCAUUGUCUGUGGAGUUUCCAUAUGCCAAAUAUUUGGUGAGUGUUGCCCUCUCCUGUUUUCUCUAAGGACUAUCACAUCUUCCUUUAUUAUGAAUAAUAGGAGUCUUAAAGAGUUUAAUCAGAUUUGGGCGGGGCGGUGGGGGAGGGGAUGAGAAUUUAAAUCCAGAUCUGCCUGACUUGGGAGCUGAGCACUUGCUCUGUGCUUUUAAAGGAAUUGAAAGUAGCCAUGUUAUUGGAUAGCUUAGUUUGUUUUCACAGACUUCAAGGUUCCUUAUAAGGCUUCAGGUAAGUAUCAAAGAUCUGAGGCGUGUAUCAUUAAGACUAUGUUGUAUACUGCAAACUAGAUAUGGAGAGUAAGAGCUCGAAUUUUGACAGGUUCAUUUGAAGGGUUGAGAAGAAUAAUCUAAUUACAGGAUGUCCCAAGGAAGUUAUGAGUCUCUCUCAGGCACCCACCCAGUCACAUUAAGAGCAUGGUGCGGACAUGAGCUUGUUGUCCUCCUCUCCCCUAUAUAGUGAUGAUUUCUUAACUAGGAAGUGUGCUGUGGAGAAACUGGAAAUGAGCGCCUCUCGAAAGAGCUCUUGGGUGGAGUCAGUAGUGUAGUAGGGAGGCACCUUCAAGCCCUAGACGAGGGCUUGUUUUCUCACGGAAAAGCUAAUUAGCUCACUUGGGCAUUGAGCACACAGCAGAAGGCUUUUCAGCAUUAGUAAACAACUGGGCCCAUAUACCCUCCGUAGAGUACAUGGGCCGUUACAUACGAAUACCAACUCUUAGCCUGUCCCAGUGUAUUCCAUACGUGAUUCAGAACCCACCGUAUACUAAAAUUUUGUCUUCUACUUUUCUGAAGCAUUUAGAAGCAGAAACAAGAAGUCACUGGGAAUUAUUGGUCUACCCUUCCAAAAACUACCUUCUGACAUAUUCUUUUACAGAUGUUCCCACAGCCUUCCCAGGGGUGCGAGAGAGAAUUAGAAGGCAAACAGCCUGGGUAGUCUUAAACCUGGAAUUUGUCAUAGAAGGGGAGGGGAGGAUGGCUCAAAGAUACACGCCUCAGGUCUUUGAUACUUACCUGAAGCCUUAGGAGCAACCUUGAAAUCUGUGAAAACAAACUUAACUAUCCAAAACCGUGGCUACACUCAAUUCCUUUAAAAGCAAGGAGUGCUCAGCUCCCAAAUCAGGCAGAUCUGGGUUUAAGUUCUUGUCCCUCCCAACCUCCUCCUGCUGCAAAAUCUGAUUAAACUCUUUUAAGACUGCUAUUACUCAUAAUAAAGGAAGAUGUGGUCAAGUGGUGGUCAUAGUUGAAAAUACAAUGAUGCAUUUAAAGUGCUAUCACAAUAUUUAAUCUGUACAUUCUCCACAGAUGUUUACUAUUAUUAAACUAUACUCCAAGGGCCUUUGGAGAAAGGGAGGGGUGAGGAGAGCAAAGGAGGUGAAGACAGGAAGCAAGUCCAUCAUUACACUAGGUGUCAGCGUUGUGUGCUUCAUUUAAGUGCUCAAUGCCUGUUCUAAUUUUACUUAUUCCCCCGGAAUAGAAAAGUACUUAAGCAAAUCUGGGAGAAUCAGAAACCUAAAACUGCAAAAGGGGGACACAGCAAUAGACUGGCUUAGGCCACUAAGCACCAGUUAUUUUCAAACUAGCUGUCUCUUGAAAAUGAGCCACCUACCCCAAUCAGUGUCUGCUAUCUUUAGAAUCUCGACAUCUCAGAAAUUGUCUGAUCUUGGCUUUGGGUCGGGUGCCAGCCUUUUUUUCAGACUUUAGGUCCCGAGUCAGCAUCGUUUGUCAGGAAGAACUGUUUGAACGCCAGCAUCUCGACUACCUACCAAGUAGGUGGGAGUGUUUAUCUUCUCAGAUUGUUAGUUUAAAAAAGAUACACAUUUGAGAGAAAAAAAAAACUUACUAAAAAAACUCAAACAUUAAGAAAAAAAAGUAGGGGCUAAGGAGGUGGCUCAGCCGUUAAAAAGUGCUUGCUGCUCAAGGAAGAUGAUGAGUUUAAGUGUGCAGCACAUAAAUGCCAGGCGAGCAUGGCAUCUCACCUCCGAUUUCAGGCUUGGGAGGCAGAGACUGGAGACCCCUUUUUCUUUCACCCCUAGCUAAUUAGCUAUCCAGAUUAGCUGUGUCUGUGGCUCUGGGUUUGGCUGAGAGACUCUGCCUCAAAGAACAAGGUGGAAGAGCAGUUGAGGAAGGCUCUUGAUAUCAACCUUGAGUCUCUUCACGCAUGCACAUAUGCUCCCACACGGGUCCACACAGGAGGCACAUACCUAUGGAGGCCAGAGGCCAAUGCAAGGUGCCUUCAUCAGUUGCUUUUCCCUUUAGUUUUUGGACCAGGAUUUCUGACUGAGCCAGAGCUCACCAAUUAGCUAGGCUUGCUGGCUAGAGCAUCCCAGAGAUCCUCCUGCCUCUGCCUCUCCAGUGCUCAGAGUAAGGUACCCACCUCAAAGGCCCUGGAGAGCCAAGCUCAGACCCUUCUGCUUUGGAAGCAAGCAUGCAACUGGAAGAGCCCUCCUCUUGGCCUCAAUAUACUAAUGUUGCAUGCUGGUUUUAUACUUAUGCUGGGACCAUGUUGACUUUGUAAUGUUUUGCUGUGGAGAGACUAGUAUUAGAUACAGAUACUAACAAUGAAGGGCUAAGUCGGGGAGGGGAACAUUUCUCUAUGUGAAUUGGAUGUGGAAGUGGUCUGCCACUAGUUUCCAUACUGAGUGUUAUUGUCAUUAAAGUGGAUAUGAUUUUACAGUCCUGCUGCUGCCUGCUUGUUGAUGGUCUGCUAAUAGCUAAGGGAGCGGAAACCCAGUGGAGGGGCAACCUUUGAAUUCUGUUCUGUGUGGUUGGUGGUGCCAAGCCUCAUCUUUUAAAAAUAAAAUGUCUUUUGAAUAAAACAAAGUGAAUGAGUUGAAUUUAUUUAAACACCAUUUAUGGCCCCAUUCCACAAGACGUUUAAUCUUCAGUUUAGUAAAUAAAGUCUAAUGCAUUUCACAAUGAUUAUACUGAUCUGGAGAGUGAAAAAAGCCUAACACAGACUGCCCAUCAUUCAUUAAUAUCAAGUUCAGUAUUUAGCCUAGCUGCAAUGAUAUUAGUAUAAUAUCAUUGUGUGGACUCAUGGCUCUCCACUUGCAUGUGAAGAAAGUUGAUAUGUGUAUCACAGUCACUGAGGGUUCAUUGUAUAUUAGACCCUGGAAAAAGAGCCUCAGCUGGGCCAAGUGGACCCCUACCUGGGUGCUCAUAG